rnacentral:lncRNA from 1 species
AGGCUGUUGAUGUUUUUCAUUCAAAGCUCGCAAUGCACCGUUCUGAAAACUCUCCAGCGUAGAAUUCAGGAACCCUGAGUUUUCUAUCUCUGUCUAGUUCUGGACUGAAUGGGCUCAAGUCAUCUAGUUAACCUCUCUGGAUUUCAGUCUUCUGAAAAGUGAAGCUAAGAGAUCUAGCAUUCUGCAGAAAAGUACUGGAGAUGACUCAGGACUGAAAAUGAUCAUGAAGCCCCUUUGCAAAUAUCAAAGUGGUGAUGAAGCAGUCAUGAACUUUGACCAGAAGCCGUGUUUUGUGGGAUUGCCACUUUAAUCGCUCCUGUUCAUCAUUAGGACUGCAGCCAGAGUGUGGAAGGAGUUGGAUGACUUAAACACCACCCCUGAGAGGCAGCUGUUUCCAGAAUAUUGCACAAUUUAUUGAGUUCAUGAGAAUCGUGAUCGUUGGCAGCACCGAACUUCACGGAGGGAAUCAUAGGCACUUUAAUUCCAAUUUGUUGACUUAUGGAGGAAGAAAUUUCUCCCAGUGGUGUCCCUUCAUCCAGGAACAAGAGCCAUCAAAGUGUCACAGACUUAGAGCCGGAAGGGCUCUCCGCUAGUGUUUCUGCCAGUCCUCUUGGUUUUACACAUGAGGAAACUGAGGCCCAGAGAAGUUACCCAGUAGCAGAUCUGCAAGUCACCCAGUAGCAGAUCUGCAAGGAGCUCUUAGCAAUCCUGACUCCAAGUGUAAUGCUCUUGCAUUAGCUCUGUGCUGCCUCCUAGAUGUUGGUCUUCUUAAUGUUGAUAGCACAUUUGCUCAAAUGUUUGCUAAUAUGGUUUGGCUGUGUCCUCACCCAAAUCUCAUCUUGAAUUGUAGUUCCCAUAAUCCCCACUUGUCGUGGCAGGGACCCAGUGGGAGGUAAUUUAAUCAUGGGUGUGGUUACCCUCAUGCUGUUCUCAUGAUAGGGAGUGAAGUCUCACGAGAUCUGAUGGUUUUAUAAACAAGAGUUCUCCUGCACAAGCUCUGUUGCCUGCUGCCAUGUAAGAAGUCCCUUUGCUCUUCCUUCAUCUUCCGCCAUGAUUGUGAGGCCUCCCCAGCCAUAAGGAACCAUGAGUUCAUUAAACCUCUUUUUUUAUAAAUUA